AAGAUCUGCAUCUCGCUGGCGGCCGCCAGCAGCGGCUUCACGGAUCCCACGACUUGGCGUCGUCCCUCUGGACAACCCAUGGCGCAUGUGCGGGCGAAGCUGGGUAGCUCGUGUUAGAUGACGAUGACGGCCGGCCGGCCGCCCGCGGUGGCACACAUAGGUUCCUACAGGCUACAGAUCUAAGGAUCGGCAGCUACAUAACUUCAGUGAAAAGUAAUUAUGCCCAUGACGGAAGAAACAUACUAUUCUUAUAUAUGUUUGCCAAAAAUUGGCAAGGCGCAGUCUCUGUUAUCCACUUUUCUCAAGGUGAUACGGAAUAUCUCAGCAAUUUAUAUUCGUUGUCUUCUCA